rnacentral:lncRNA from 1 species
GGAAAGGAUCAAAACCUUAGAGCGCAUUGUCGUAAUCCCUUCCCAGCCUCCCUUCCUUCAGGACCACUCACUCCCUCUCUCCCAACUCGACACCGACCCCAACCUUCACCUCACCUUUCGUUACCUCCGCGCGUACACUUCAACCGCUUCACCUACCUCCCUCGACCCUUUCAACGUCAUCUCCUCCUCCCUCUCCAACGCGCUCAACCAAUUCUACCCCCUCGCCGCCACACUACGUCGCCGCCCAACCUCCCCCCACCGUCUCGAACUCUGGUGUGCCG